rnacentral:lncRNA from 1 species
UGAAAGGGAAGGAUUAGUUGUUGAGGAUGAGUUAGGUUUUGAUGUGGUACAAGAAGGUAUUGAAGUGGAUAUGUCCCAACAAAACCAGAUGGCUGCAGUGAGAGAUGUUAUUGCAAAUGAGAUAUGGGAUGACUACAAUCGUCGUUGAUUUUUUUAUGUACUAUAGGAUGUUGAAUUUGUAACACGAUGAAUUGUAGUUUGUUACAACCUUUUUAUGUACUACAGGAUGUUGAAUUUGUAAUACGAUGAAUUGUAGUUUGUUACAACCUAUUUACGUACUACAGGAUGUUGAAUUUGUAAUACGGUGAAUUGUAGUUUGUUACAACCUAUUUCGUGGAGGACAUGUAUAUUAUUAAAUAUAUUCUUUUUAUUAUGUUUAUAUUGUUGUUUUGGUUUGAAAAAAUGAUUUGUACAAUUUAUUUAAUGGAAUCUCGCUCAAGUUUGUUAUAUGUCUUUUACGUUCAAGCUUGUGUAAUUCUUUGAGUUUAUCAAUAAAAG